UGAAGAGAAAUAUCUGUGUGAGAGAGGAAUGCAAAGAGAAACACUCCUCACCUCUGAUGUGCUGUCUGUACUUUCGUUUGAUCCUCUGUCUCACAUCCAUCCCAGCACUGACCUUUAUGGCUACUCACACAACUUCAAGAUAUGUAGUAACAGUCAAGUGGCUCUGGCCCUCUUGCACUCACCUUUUGAGAUGGAUGUGUUCUGUACACUGUUUAUGAUGGGGGGGAGAGGUGUGACAAACAUCUGUGACUUCCCUCCUGUCAGUUCUGGCAAAUAUGUCUUUAGUUUUCCUAUGUGUACAUGAAGUUCCAGCCUGCAGAGGUUUCCAGUCCAAUCAGGGCUGAAGGACAGUUGGAUGUCUGCUCCCAGAACCAGUCUGUCAAGGAUGAGCAGUUGGUCAGAUCUGGCAAAGCUUCUUCAAGUGACUGAUGGCAGAGGUUAUCCUUAGUCAAGGUGGACACCACACCAAUAAAUCCUUUGCAGGUGGACUAGGUAGGUAUAAGUAGGGCUCUUUCUUCAUUUUGCAGCUAGAUCCAGAAUGUUCUGCUGAAAGACCAUAAGUAAACCUCAGGCUGUAGGAGACACGCCAUUUUUAGCGGUUCUUUGGAGGCUGAAUGUGUGUGCCCUGUGUUUUGUUUGGGAGAUUUACUCUGCCCACAUUUUCAGAGUCUCCCAGUGUCUGUGAGAGCUGGAAACUUCCCUGAAGCGAAGCCUCUCACCAACUUAUGUUUCUCUCAGGAUGCCAGCAUGGUGUGGAAGCACAAGCAAAGCCAUAUUCAUGGCACAGCUCUGAGUAUGAUCAGAAGCCAGAUGUGCCAGAGAAAAACUGGAACACAUGCAGGGAGAACAGUGUGAGUGAGGGUAUGGUAAUUUGGAGAGGGGAGCAACAGGGAGUGUGAUACUAGAAAUAAGAGAGGUAUUAGGGUGAGGGAGAGGGGGAGAUAAUGGCAGAACUGACAGAGAGAUUUUGAUCACAAUAUGGUAGAGCAAAAGAGGGGAGGUGAUGCUUAUUGAAAGUAGGGAUGAGUCAAGCAUGGGACAUCUGGAGGACAAAAUGGUGGUUAUCCAUGAGAGCAGAAACUAGAAUUGUCAUACAGCACAGAGGGGAAGAUGGAGACAACUGCAUAUUUGUGCUGUGAAUUUAAAUUCUUAACUUGGAAGUAUUCUGUGCCAUCCCACGCCAUUUGCCAUUAACAAAACAUUGCAAUGAAGGCACAGGUAAGUGACUUUAUUGUUAUUACUACUUUUUUCAAUGUAAUGAGCCUGAAAUGGUAUUUCUGGUGUCUUGAAGCUGCCAGUACUACAUUGUCUCUGGAAGAGAGGAGGUGAAAAAACUUUAGAAUAGUGGAUUGUUCUUCCUGCAGUGACGCUGUUGGUACUCAUCAGUUAAACCACUGAAAUAUGCUAUACCCAGGGAACAGAAGAACUACUGAUGAUAUAAUACUUUUGCUGUCCAAUUUCAGAUGCUCAUUUAAGUAAUAAAUGAUUCAUCUAUUGGGCUCUUGGAUUCUGAGCUUUUAAAGAAUGUAGAUAUAUGCAAAUGGCAUAAGAAAAGGUGGACUCUCAGAAUUUAUUCAGAGCUCAUUCACCCUCUCUGCCCCAUGCAGGGUCAGUCAUGUAUCUGAUGCUCAGUCUAUUCUUCAAGAUCUCUGGUGGUGGACUCUCCUUCCAAAGUCUCCUUCCUCAAGCAGGCCAUUUCUCUAGUUUAAAAUUUAUACUUUUGAAAAGCUGUACUGAUUCUAUGUAUCUAUGAUCCUUCCUACUGCAUCAGAAGCCCAUUCAUUUAUCCCUGUCCACCAUAAGCACUGAUAGCAGAUUGUCCCUUUUCUCUUUGAAGCAGAUUUUUACUUGCUUUUACCAUUCUUAAUUAAUUUUCUUUUAGGUUAAACAACAUUGAAAGGUCAACUAAAAUCAAAUAUAUGAAUCACAGAAUAUUCUGAGUUGGAAGAGAUCCACAAGUAUCAUCAAAGUCCAAGUUCUGGCCCUACACAGGACAAACCCAAGAGUCAUAAAUGCUAGCCACCAUGUUGGAAACAAAGUUAUCAAG